rnacentral:rRNA from 1 species
CGGACGUGAGGAACCUGCCUUGAAGAGGGGGACAACAGUUGGAAACGAACUGCUAAUACCGCAUGACGCAUAGAGGUCGCAUGAUCUUUAUGCCAAAGAUUUAUCGCUUCAAGAUGGCCUCGCGUCUGAUUAGCUAGUUGGCGGGGUAACGGCCCACCAAGGCGACGAUCAGUAGCCGGACUGAGAGGUUGAACGGCCACAUUGGGACUGAGAUACGGCCCAG